UUAUGUGGGGUUGCAUGUGUGCUGCUUCAGUGUGUGAUGUGGAAGCUUGAAGUUUCACUCUCUGCUUUCUAUAUUGCUUGCUAGUCAUCUCGGAAAAGGUGAGAGGUUGGGGCUGGAGAGUGUCAAUAAAUAUGGAGUGAAGAGGAGGAGGGCAGUAACGUAUCCAGUUCCUCCCGUUGGUUUGCAUUCCUACCUGAACUCAGAGGUGCAAAAGCAAGUGAAGGUGUGUGUACAGCUCUCUCGAAAACAAGGUUCAUCACAGAAGUAAAAUAACGAGCAAGUUUUCUACAUGUCCUCCUUAUCGUCAGUGUAUGAACCUGGUGGUUUAACUGUCAGAAAUGAAGAGCAGACUGACUUCAGUUACAGGCUCAUAAAGCCUUUUGCUUGUAUUACAAAGGUUUUUACUGCUGCUCGUAAACACUUACUGCAUAAAUAAUUCUGUGUUUAUGCGUCCAAACUGGAAGCAUCUUGUCUCAGCAAUGCCCACACGUUGCAUACUUGCCCUGCUUUAUCUCAAACUUGUUUAGAAGAAUUCUUCAGUUCCUCUCAGAUACUUGGCUUGAUAGCACUUCUGCUAUAGGUAGUUUCCUAACAGUUGCAAAUCAUUUCUCCGAACCCAUCUUUUCAUUGGUAUUUAUUCUGUGUUUCUGCUGUUCUGUAUUCCUGCCCUCCCCUUUGCUCCCCAUCACCUUUUUGCAGAAAACCAGUGAGAGCUGGGCUGUGUGCUUGGCUUUCAUUGAUCACCCAUGGCUGCUCUUUGUGUCUGCCUUUGUCUGGGUCUCAUCCCAACUGUUGUCAAAUCUCAGAAUGCAAGAUCAUGUCAGAAGCAGCAUUUGAAAAGGAUGUAUUUUUUAAUCAUGGCAUGUAAUGUCAUCCAUGAUGCAGAAACCUCUCAGGAUGAUAGAGAAGACACUGUUCACCACCUGAGAAAUUGCAGGCUCGUACAGCUCUCUGCACAUGAAUGUUUUUCUAGGCGGCUGGAUUCCAAUCCAGGGAAACACAUUCCCUUUUGGAAUGCAAAAAAACCAUGAGGUCUCAGGGUCUUAUUUUGCACUAAGUCACCUGGUUGUUGGCUUUUUCAUAAUCACAGAAUGGUUUUGGUUGGAAGGGACCUUAAAGUUCAUCUAGUUCAAACCUGCCUGCUAAGGGCAGGGGCACCUUCCACUAGACCAGGUUGCUCAAAAUAGUGAAAACCUAGUGCAGCUCCUGGCUCUGAGGUGCAGUGGCAUCCUGUGCUUCCAUCCGUCCUGUCCACUUGGGAUCGUAGAGCAUAUCAGCCCAGCUUGACUUUGUCUCGAGUAACAGGCCCAUCAGCCUCUGUAAAGCUGCUACAGGCUUCAGCUCUGAAGAUUUCAGCUGUGCACAGUUGGAGUGUUUUCUGCAGCUCUUUGGCACCGGUGAGAUUGCAGGAGCUGUUGGGUUCUGCCAGUGCUGCUCUUGUGGCUCCAGACUGCCUUGUGCACAGAGGACCUUGAUGAAAGAUCUUCAGCCUUCCAGAUACGGAGCCUGCCAGUCUUGUGACCUCCCAUGUGGGGUUGUGUGGAGAAGAUGUCCUUGAUCUUACCACUUGGUUGGGAGUUGCUGCAUUCUCCUAGCUGUGUCAGAGGGCUUUCUUCAUCUAGAGAAACUCGGGGGUUUCAGUGUUCCAGUCUUCCAAAACAAUUUCCUCAAGGAGAGGUUGAAAGUAUGGCCAUGACUGCAAAACUGCAUGCCUGUUUUAGUGAAUCAAGAUCUGUUGUGCCAGGAAGGCAAAUAGUUGUGAGGGAUCUUUUUCAUUGUUAUGAUACUUUUCUGUAGCUGUUCUGGGCAAUUUCUCUGGUAUUUGGGAGAUAGUGACAAAAAACAUGUCAUUGGUUUGUCUUGCUACAUUUGAAAUGGAGAACACCAUGUUUUACAUCAGGAGGUGUGAAGAUGCACAGUAAUCCUGUCUCUGCUAAGAAGCCAGCCUUUAGAAUUAGUACAAGCGUUUCCAGCUGCACCUUUGGCAGGAUGUGUGGUGGGCAUUGGAGAACCUGAAUGGACACACUCAGCUUUCAUUUGUCUGAACUGGAGUAGGAAAUGGAGUGAUUUAUCCUAGGCAAAAGUCUGGUUUUGGUGGGUAGUGACCUCAUCUCAACAUGUGCCUGGUUUUGUGUCGUCUUUUCUCUUAAUAACUAGUUAUUUUCUCUUAAUAAGUAGUUUCUAAAUGAUCUUUUUUUCUUUAUUCUUUUUCCAGCACCAUAGUUCCCCUGCUUUAACCUGACCAGCAUGGUUUUAGGUGUUGGCCCACUACUUCCAUCUAUGUUAUGCCAUGUUUAAAAAUGAUCAUCCUCCUCCUUGUUGUGGAUGCUGAGUUUAACUAUAAGCAUUCCUGCUCCACAGAGUAGCAAGAUGAUGUUUAUCAGACAAAUUGGUUGGCUUAAAUGGAUUUAGUGAAAGA